UACAGAGGUCUCAAGCGUUGUUCGGAUUCAUUGGGCGUAAAGGGUGCGUAGGCGGCGCGGUAAGUCGAACGUGAAAUCCCCGGGCUCAACCCGGGAACUGCGUCCGAUACUGGAAGGCUUGAAUCCGGGAGAGGGAUGUGGAAUUCCAGGUGUAGCGGUGAAAUGCGUAGAUAUCUGGAGGAACACCGGUGGCGAAGGCGACAUCCUGGACCGGUAUUGACGCUGAGGCGCGAAAGCCAGGGGAGCAAACGGG
rnacentral:rRNA from 1 species